rnacentral:rRNA from 1 species
AGUCACAGCCAUAUCACCCUGCAGCCUAAAACCGGUUACUCACUAAAGCUAAACAGGGUUGAGCCUGGUCUGUACCUGGAUGGAAGACCACAUGAGAAAACUAGGUUGCUGUUGGAA